rnacentral:rRNA from 1 species
UACGGAGGGGGCUAGCGUUGUUCGGAAUUACUGGGCGUAAAGCGCACGUAGGCGGCUUGCCAAGUCAGGUGUGAAAGCCUGGGGCUCAACCCCAGAAGUGCACUUGAAACUGGCGAGCUUGAAUGUCGGAGAGGGCAGUGGAAUUCCGAGUGUAGAGGUGAAAUUCGUAGAUAUUCGGAGGAACACCAGUGGCGAAGGCGACUGCCUGGACGAACAUUGACGCUGAGGUGCGAAAGCGUGGGGAGCAAACAGG